rnacentral:rRNA from 1 species
GUCCACGCCUAACUAUGUCAACUGGUUGUCGGGAUUAACUCCCUUGGUAACGAAGCUAACGCGUGAAGUUGACCGCCUGGGGAGUACGGCCGCAAGGUUAAACUCAAAGGAAUUGACGGGGACCCGCACAAGCGGUGGAUUAUGUGGAUUAAUUCGAUGCAACGCGAAAACCUUACCUACCCUUGACAUGUACGGAAUCUCCCAGAGAUGGGAAAGUGCCCCGAAAGGGAACCGUAACACAGGUGCUGCAUGGCUGUCGU